AUGCAGCUGACGAGUCCCAAACGGUACGAAACGCGUGUCCUAGAU
rnacentral:hammerhead_ribozyme from 1 species